rnacentral:rRNA from 1 species
AGCUCCAAUAGCGUAUACUAAUGUUGUUGCAGUUAAAAAGCUCGUAGUCGGAUUUCAGCUUUGCUCAUCUUUUCCACUUUGGAUCUGCUGGGGAGGGCUUCUUUGACGGAAGUAUUCCUGACAUUUCAUUUGUUGGGUUUUUCAACCGUCUCUUUUACUUUGAGAAAAUUAGAGUGUUCAAAGCAGGCAUUGCCUGAAUAUUACUCUUGGAAUAAUAAUAGAUGACUCUGGUGCUAGUUUGUUGGUGCACUGGUGCCGGAGUAAUGAUUAAUAGCGACGGUUGGGGUCAUUCGACUGCAAAGCGAGAGGUGAAAUUCUUGGACCUUUGAUGACGAACAACUGCGAAAAGCAUUUGACUAGGACGUUCGCGUUGAUC